rnacentral:rRNA from 1 species
AGGUGGGAGGCUUGGAAGUGUGGACGCCAGUCUGCAUGGAGCCGACCUUGAAAUACCACCCUUUAAUGUUUGAUGUUCUAACGUUGACCCGUAAUCCGGGUUGCGGACAGUGUCUGGUGGGUAGUUUGACUGGGGCGGUCUCCUCCUAAAGAGUAACGGAGGAGCACGAAGGUUGGCUAAUCCUGGUCGGACAUCAGGAGGUUAGUGCAAUGGCAUAAGCCAGCUUGACUGCGAGCGUGACGGCGCGAGCAGGUGCGAAAGCAGGUCAUAGUGAUCCGGUGGUUCUGAAUGGAAGGGCCAUCGCUCAACGGAUAAAAGGUACUCCGGGGAUAACAGGCUGAUACCGCCCAAGAGUUCAUAUCGACGGCGGUGUUUGGCACCUCGAUGUCGGCUCAUCACAUCCUGGGGCUGAAGUAGGUCCCAAGGGUAUGGCUGUUCGCCAUUUAAAGUGGUACGCGAGCUGGGUUUAGAACGUCGUGAGACAGUUCGGUCCCUA